rnacentral:lncRNA from 1 species
UCCGCCACUGGCGCUAUCCUCAAAUGGGUUCCUAUUCGACACGAAUUUGAAUUAUUCGAACUCCAAUACAAAUACUGAACAAUAGAUGGUGGAAAGAAAAAGAAAGAUUCCUAUUUUCAAUGUGUUAGAAACUUGCCCAAUGCCUACGGAUGGCAAUGGAGCGGGGCGGGAGUGGAGCGGGGCAGGUUAUGGAGUUCGUGGGGCGGGGCG